AGCCUAAUGACCUCAUAUUAGGUAAAGUCUGCCCGGUGAUUUUUUUUAACGGCCGCAGUACUUUGACUGUGCUAAGGUAGCAAAAUAAAUAGGCUUAUAAUUAAGGUCGAGUAUGAAUGGCAUUAUGGGUGAAAGCUGUCUUACACAUACAUACAAAAAUUUAAUUAGUAGGUGAAAAUGCCCACAUAAAAAUAUUAGACGAGAAGACCCUUAGAGUUUUUAAUAAGCAUGCUACUAAUAGUGAUGAUUUUUUUUGUUGGGGCGACAUAGUAUCAUUUUAGCAUACUCAUAUUAUAGCUAUUAUACAAAUCUUCUUUACUUAUGAACAUAACUACCUAAGGGAUAACAGCAUAAUUUUUCUUUAAGAUUGUGACCUCGAUGUUGGACUAGGGACUAAAUAUAUAAGCCAUAUACUUAGAAUAUUCUGUUCGAAUAAUUUUUUACCU
rnacentral:rRNA from 1 species